rnacentral:rRNA from 1 species
GAUGAACGCUGGCGGCGUGCCUAAUACAUGCAAGUCGAACGCACCGCUUCGGUGGUGAGUGGCGAACGGGUGAGUAAUACAUAAGUAACCUGGCCUUUCGAGGGGGAUAACUAUUGGAAACGAUAGCUAAGACCGCAUAGGCAUAAUUCUCGCAUGAGAGCUAUGUUAAAUAUCCCACGGGAUAGCGAGAGGAUGGACUUAUGGCGCAUUAGCUGGUUGGUGAGGGUAACGGCCCACCAAGGCGACGAUGCGUAGCCGACCUGAGAGGGUGGACGGCCACACUGGGACUGAGACACGGCCCAGACUCCUACGGGAGGCAGCAGUAGGGAAUUUUCGGCAAUGGGCGAAAGCCUGACCGAGCAACGCCGCGUGAGGGAGGAAGUAUUUCGGUAUGUAAACCUCUGUUAUAAAGGAAGAACGGCGCAUGUAGGGAAUGACAUGCGAGUGACGGUACUUUAUGAGAAAGCCACGGCUAACUACGUGCCAGCAGCCGCGGUAAUACGUAGGUGGCGAGCGUUAUCCGGAAUCAUUGGGCGUAAAGAGGGAGCAGGCGGCAACUAGGGUCUGCGGUAAAAGACCGAAGCUAAACUUCGGUAAGCCGUGGAAACCGAGGAGCUAGAGUGCAGUAGAGGAUCGUGGAAUUCCAUGUGUAGCGGUGAAAUGCGUAGAUAUAUGGAGGAACACCAGUGGCGAAGGCGACGAUCUGGGCUGCAACUGACGCUCAGUCCCGAAAGCGUGGGGAGCAAAUAGGAUUAGAUACCCUAGUAGUCCACGCCGU